rnacentral:rRNA from 1 species
GUGAGUCAUCGAAUCUUUGAACGCACCUUGCACUCCUUGGUAUUCCGAGGAGUAUGCCUGUUUGAGUGUCAUGAAAUCAUCAACUUCAUAGUUUUGUUACUGUGAAGCUUGGACUUGGAAGCUGCUGGCUCUGUCGGCUCUUCUUAAAUAUAUUAGCUGCUUGUCCGUGGGUUGGCUCAGAGUGUGAUAAGUAUCUGCACUUGGUGGCUGCUCGCUUUGGAUGUGGCUUCUAAUCGUCUUCGGACAAUUUUAAGAUCUGACCUCAAAUCAGGUAGGACUACCCGCUGAACUUAAGCAUAUCAAUAAGCGGAGG